AGUUACUGUACAGAGGUUGGGCAGUGGCACUGAGCAGUGUUGAUUGAGCUUCCGGGUUUAACUUGAAACUUCCUUUUCAUCUAAUUGCCGAUGAUGCAAGGGCAGCUGGAAUUGUGACGUGUGAAAGACCAAAAUAGGUUUGGACUGCCCUUUGCAGCACACAUACACAAUUUGAUGAUUCCCAAACGGAGGUGGAGGAUGUCCUGCUGGACCUGAUUGAGGCCAAUCCAGACCUGUGCCUCACAAUCAAAGAUCUUGAUGAAGUCUGUUCGACACCGAGUGUGUGCACAGACACAUUAUCCCUCGUCAAGUGACUUAGACCAGAGAUCUUCAGAAAGACUGUCUAAAAAGGCCCACUCAACAUUAGGAGACGAGGCCAUUGACUCCGCAGGAGCAAAAUAGAUGGUCCGAGAUGCCCUGGCCAGUAGACCUGGCGGGCAAGACGUAUUAGAAGAAUACCAGACAACUAAAACAUUGGACCACAGAACCAGGAAAGAGAUUGCCAUCUUAGUCAGCUGCAUGAAAGAGAUGCAUGAGAGGCUUCCCACUCAUCAACAGAGAGAACGUUAUGCUCUGAGAAUUCUGGAGGCCGAACCCAUAGGAGGAAAACUGACCUGGACCAUCAGCUUGUUGGUGAUGCCUGCAAGGAGGCCAUAUCAUUCCUUGUCCACACAGCCAAUGAAAAACAAAUCUAUCAGAAGAUGUAGGAGGUAUUCCAGUAUCGCCAGGAGCUAGUUUAUAGUCCAGACAGAAGCACAGAUGUCCUCAGUCUUUCCCAGGUUUCUGGGAAUCAUACAAUUGGUGAAUCAGGACUUUUUGCUGAUGUUCGACGAUGAAACGUCCUCUAAGCUCCUUGAAAAAUGGGACACUGUAUUGAAGCCUAAAGUCAUCAAACUGGCAAAAUCCCUGACUACCACAGCUCCUGAAGUCUGCAGAAAAACUGCUGGAGAAUGACAGCAAAACCAGUUAGUGGAUUCUCACUGUCACAAUAUGGCCUCCCUGCUGCUGCUUCAUCUCCUCCCUCCACCAGCAGGAGGGAAGAGGACCAAACUCAGUGCCAGUGAUGCUGUCGGUAGACUAGUGCACUUUCAUAAGUCAUGCUGCAGCAUUGAAGACCAUCUUGAUGGGAGCCAUGGUCGACAGCCAUACCUCCUUGGCGUCGGAAGAAGACAGAGCAAGAUUGACUACUACUACAUCGUGGUGGACAAGAGGCUAGUUCCCUGCCAGGCAACUAGUGAUCUGUGUGCGUUUGAUGACCUAUUCAAAGUCCACUUUGUCUUUAACCUGACAAACUCAGUAAAAAAAUAAACGUGAACUGCAUUUAUUUUCAUCAAACUUAACGUGUUAAAUAUUUGUAUAAACAUAACAAGAUUCAACAACUGAGACAUAAACUGAACAAGUUCCAGAGACGUGACUAACAGAAAUUGAAUAAUGUGUCUCUGAACAAAGGGGGGGUCAAACUCAAAAGUAACAGUCAGUAUCUCCUGUGGCCACCAGCUGCAUUAAGUACUGCAGUGCAUCUCCUCCUCAUGGACUGCAUCAAAUUAGCCAGUUCUUGCUGUGAGCUGUUACCCCACUCUUCCACCAAGGCAUCUGCAAGUUCCCAGACAUUUCUGGGGAGAAUGGCCCUAGCCCUCACGCUCCGAUCCAACAGGUCCCAGACGUGCUCAAUGGGACUGAGAUCCGGGUUCUUUGCUUGCCAUGGCAGAACACUGACAUUCAUGUCUUGCAGGAAAUCACACACAGAACGAGCAGUAUGACUGGUGGCAUUGUCAUGCUGGAGGGUCAUGUCAGGAUGAGCCUGCAGGAAGGGUACCACAUGAGGGAGGAGGAUGUCUUCCUGUAACGCACAGCGUUGAGAUUGCCUGCAAUGACAACAAGCUCAGUCCGAUGCUGCUGUGACACGCCGCCCCAGACCAUGACGGACCCUCCACCUCCAACUCGAUCCUUCUCCAGAGUACAGGCCUCGGUGUAACGCUCAUUCCUUCGACGAUAAACACGAAUCCGACCAUCACUCCUUGUGAGACAAAACCGCGACUCGUCAGUGACGAGCACUUUUUGGCAGUCCUGUCUGGUCCAGCGACGGUGGGUUUGUGCCCAUAGGCGACAUUGUGCCAGUGAUGUCUGGUGAGGACUUGCCUUACAACAGGCCUACAAGCCCUCAGCCCAGCCUCUCUCAGCCUGAGAUCUGAUGGAGGGGCUGUGUGUUCCUGGUGUAACUCGGGCAGUUGUUGUUGCCAUCCUGUACCUGUCCCGCAGGUGUGAUGUUUGGAUGUACCGAUCCUGUGCAGGUGUUGUUACACGUGGUCUACCACUGCAAGGAUGAUCAGCUAUUCGUCCUGUCUCCCUGUAGCGCUGUCUUAGGCGUCUCACAGUAUGGGUAUUUCAAUUUAUUGCCUAUGCCACAUCUGCAGUUCUCGUUCCUCCUUGCAGCAUGUCUAAGGCACGUUCACGCAUAUGAGCAGGGACCCUGGGCAUCUUUCUUUUGCUGUUUUUCAGAGUUCGUAGAAAGGCCUCUUUCGUGUCCAACGUUUUCAUAACUGAUCUUAAUUGCCUGCCGUCUGUAAACUGUUAGUGUCUUAACAACCGUUCCGCAGGUGCAUGUUCAUUAAUUGUUUAUGGUUCAUUGAACCAGCAUGGGAAACAGCGUUUAAACACUUUACAAUGAAGAUCUGUGAAGUUAUUUGGAUUUUUAUGAAUUAUCUUUGAAAGACAAGGUCCUGAAAAGGGGACAUUUCUUUUUUUGCUGAGUUUAUGAUGACUCUCGUCAACUUCUACAUUGUGCAGACAAUCCUUUGUUUGACAUGAUUGAGUAAUAGUCAGAUUAUUGCCAACUUUGUCAAGAAAAUUGCAGAAUUAGUCUUAGGAGGACUUCCACUUGUGUUAAAUAGUAACUCUGCAAAUACUUGUUCGCAUAUAAUACAUGUACUGAUGUGUCAGAUGCACUGAUUUCAUUCUGAUGCGCCUGUGAUGCACUGAUUUCAUUCUGAUGCAUCCUCUCUUUGUAACCUAAAUAAAUUAAACAAAGCAUUAAUCUUGUAACAAAUCCUUUUAUUGCUCAUGUUUAAAUCCCCUACAACUUGCAGGCUUGAUUUGAGUGGGAGAGAACCAGACACAAAAAAUGGUGUUGAAAAAACACUCCCAUGGGUUAUUUGAACAACAGUGUCAUUUUAACACUCCAAGUAUUUCAAUAUGAACACUACCAAACGUGUUAAAUUAACACUGAUGGGAGUGGACCUAUAAACCCUGGACAAGUGUAUAAAAUUAACACUUUCAAAUUUGCUGUGUAGAAAACAUGAUUUAAGUUAAUUGCAUUCAUUAGUUUAAAUUACCAUAUUUUGCCUUUUACACUUUAGUUUAAAAUACAGAGCUACAUCAAAUAGAACAUGAUUAGAACUACUACUCAUGGAGACUGAAAGCAUGAUGUGUGAACUACAUGCUAAUUAUAUAACUCCCCACAACUGGCUUAAACCUGAGCGACCAACUCUGUAGCAAACGAUUAAGGACAAGCACACCUAAACUGGUAUAUACAGUGCAUUCAGAAACGAUUCACACCCCUUGACUUUUCCCACAUUUGAUGUUAAAAACCUUAUUCUAAAAUGUAUUAAAUAUUUUUUUGCCCUUAUCAAUCUACACACUACCCCAUAAUGAAAAAGCAAAAACUGUUUUUUAGAAAUGUUUGCAAAUGUGUAGAUUUUAUAAAUACAAAUUAAAUAUAACAUUUACAUAAGUGUUCAGACUUUGUUGAAGAACAUUUGGCAUUGAUUACAGCCUCGUGUUUUCAUGGGUAUGAUGCUACAAGCUUGGCACACCUGUAUUUGGGGAGUUUCUCCCAUUCUUCUCUGCAGAUCCUCUCAAGCUCUGUCUGGUUGGAUGGGGUGUGUCGUUGCACAGCUAUUUUCAGGUCUCUCCAGAGAUAUUCGAUUGGGUUAAAGUCCGGGCUCUGGCUGGGCCACUCAAGGACAUUCAGAGACUUGUCCCAAAGUCACUCCUGCGUUGUCUUGGCUGUGUGCUUAGGAUUGUCAUCCCGUUUGGAAGGUGAACCAUCGCCCCAGUCUGAGGCCCUAAGAGCUCUGAAGGAGGUUUUCAUCAAGGAUCUCUCUGUACUUUGCUCUGUUCAUCAUUCCCUUUAUCCUGACUAGUCUUCCAGUCCCUGCCGGUGAAAAACUCGGCCAACUUCUCCCCCAAUUGCUCAGUUUGGCAGGGCGGCCAGCUCAAGGAAGUCUUGGUGGUUCCAAACUAUUUAAGAAUGAUGGAAGCCACUGUGUUCUUGGGGACCUUCGAUGCUGCAGAUAUUUUUUGGUACCCUUCCCCAGAUCUGU